AUGAAUAUUGAGGCUCGUGGCAGAUAUCGUUAUUUUCUCACCUUCAUAGAUGACUUAAGCAGAUAUGGGUAUAUGUACUUAAUGAAACAUAAGUCUGAAACAUUUGAAAAGUUCAAAGAAUUUCAGAGUGAAGUUGAAAACCAUCGUAACAAGAAAAUAAAGUUUCUACGAUCUGAUCGUGGAGGAGAAUAUUUGAGUUACGAGUUUGGUGUACAUUUGAAACAAUGCGGAAUAAUUUCGCAACUCACGCCACCCGGAACACCAUAG
rnacentral:rRNA from 1 species